rnacentral:rRNA from 1 species
GACGAACGCUGGCGGCGUGCUUAACACAUGCAAGUCGAGCGGUAAGGCCCUUCGGGGGUACACGAGCGGCGAACGGGUGAGUAACACGUGGGUGACCUGCCCUCCACUUCGGGAUAAGCCUGGGAAACUGGGUCUAAUACCGGGAUAGGACCUCCUCAUGCAUGGUGGGGUGGUGGAAAGUCCGUGUUCUUUGAUGCGGUCGGUGGGGGAUGGGCCCGCGGUCUAUCAGCUUGUUGGGUGGGGUGAUGGCCCACCAAGGCGACGACGGAUAGCCGGCCUGAGAGGGUGAUCGGCCACACUGGGACUGAGACACGGCCCAGACUCCUACGGGAGGCAG